CCUACGGGAGGCAGCAGUGAGGAAUAUUGGUCAAUGGCCGGAAGGCUGAACCAGCCAUGCCGCGUGAAGGUCAGUGCCCUAUGGGCGGUAAACUUCUUUUGUGCGGGAGCAAUAAUGGUCACGUGUGGCCAGACGAGAGUACCGUACGAAUAAGCAUCGGCUAACCCCGUGCCAGGAGCCGCGGUAAUACGGGGGAUGCAAGCGUUAUCCGGAUUUGAUGGGUUGAAAGGGUGCGUAGGCGGUGAGGUAAGUCAGCGGUGAAAUGCCCCCGCUUAACGGGGUGAAGUGCCAUUGAUACUGCCUGGCUGGAGUGCGAAUGGGGUGAGAGGAAUGUGUGGUGUAGCGGUGAAAUGCAUAGAUAUCA
rnacentral:rRNA from 1 species